rnacentral:tRNA from 2 species
GCGGGUGUGGCGGAACUGGCAGACGCGCAUGGUUGAGGGCCAUGUUCCCUUUUGGGAGUGGAGGUUCGAAUCCUCUCACCCGCA